rnacentral:rRNA from 1 species
GGCGGCGUGCCUAAUACAUGCAAGUAGAACGCUGAAGGAGGAGCUUGCUUCUCUGGAUGAGUUGCGAACGGGUGAGUAACGCGUAGGUAACCUACCUGGUAGCGGGGGAUAACCUAUUGGAAACGAUAGCUAAUACCGCAUAAGAGUAGAUGUUGCAUGACAUUUGCUUAAAAGGUGCAAUUGCAUCACUACCAGAUGGACCUGCGUUGUAUUAGCUAGUUGGUGAGGUAACGGCUCACCAAGGCAACGAUACAUAGCCGACCUGAGAGGGUGAUCGGCCACACUGGGACUGAGACACGGCCCAGACUCCUACGGGAGGCAGCAGUAGGGAAUCUUCGGCAAUGGACGGAAGUCUGACCGAGCAA